rnacentral:rRNA from 1 species
CUACGGGUUGCUGCAGUAGGGAAUAUUGGUCAAUGGAGGCAACUCUGAACCAGCCAUGCCGCGUGCAGGAAGACGGCCCCAUGGGUUGUAAACUGCUUUUGUACGGGAAGAAACCCAUCUACGUGUAGGUGGUUGACGGUACCGUGCGAAUAAGGAUCGGCUAACUUCGUGCCAGCAGCCGCGGUAAUACGAAGGAUCCAAGCGUUGUCCGGAUUUACUGGGUUUAAAGGGUGCGUAGGCGGAUAAAUAAGUCAGUGGUGAAAGCCUACAGCUUAACUGUAGAUGUGCCAUUGAAACUGUUUGUCUCGAGUAUGGUUGAGGUUACUGGAAUGUUGAAUGUAGCGGUGAAAUGCUUAGAUAUGCAACAGAACACCAAUUGCGAAGGCAGGUAACUAAGCCAUAACUGACGCUGAGGCACGAAAGCGUGGGGAUCAAACAGGAUUAGAUACCCUGGUAGUC